GCUCUCACGGCUGCUGCUCCUCUGGACUCCCCAAGAAACCAGGCCGACUAACAAGGUUUCCAGCAGGUGGCCUUGCCUCACCCCAAGCACACGAGGUCAGCCUGGCAGGUGUGCCCUCCUCGCGCUGGCUUCAGGGUUCCACAGGCGCAUGGGCCACGUUUCCAGUGCUUGGUGGCCAUGUGGGGCUGACGUGCGAAACCUUAGAGCCGGGGGAUACGUCCGUCAUCGAGAACGUUUUCCUGGACUGCCCUGGGCUGCAGGUGGACGUGACGAGGUCAUUCGAUGCCUGACCGUCUGCACAGCCUGUGGUGAAGACCACCCGGGCUCCCACCUCGCGGGGCCCCGUGGCGGGGGGUUCCCUUCCUCACACAUCCCUCCCCUAGGGGGAGGCCCAGGGCCACGCCACGGGGCUCUCUCUGUCCCCUCCCUGGCCCCUUCUUCUAAGCUUGCAGCUGCCACAGAAAAUCUUCUAAGCUUGCAGCUGCCACAGAAAACACCCGAUUAAAAACUUUUUAUUUCAGCAAAAUAAA
rnacentral:lncRNA from 1 species